UUGAAAAUUAUUCAUUAUAAAAUGAAUGAAAUUUUUUGAUUUUUCAUGGCCAAUUCGAAAGGUUUAUUCAGGUUCGAAGCAUUGCGGUAAAUAUCUAAUUCAUCGUAGCUAAUCUUAAGAGGAUCAGUUGGGGAACGUGUAAUUCGGUUUUCUGUCGGGGAAUUUCGGAGGUGGAUACUUUUUCUUCGACCCAACGCCAGUACGGCGACAGCAACCGGAGCGGCGACAUCGAUGGUACGCACUUAUCCUCAGUGAAGAGAAGGGAGAAAAACAAGUUGAGGUGCAUACCAAGGUACUCGACGGUCAUCAGAGUUGCCUAGUUCUUCGCAGUAGCUAUUGUUCAACUUGCGGAAAGUAUGCGUUGUGCUGAAGUUACAUCGGGCAUCGAAAGACUCGUAUGAAGGCUCUCAAUUUGUCGUCACAGUGCCUUGAUCAUCGCAGUACCUCUUCAACUUCCAACCACGAAGGGCAGGACUUUCAUGGCAUCGCACAAUUCGUUGACAGGUACUCGGAGAUGCUGCCGCCGCAGUUAUG
rnacentral:lncRNA from 1 species